GCCACAUCCUCUCGGGGUGGUGGGAGUGCUUCAAGGCCCAGGACAGGAAACAGCCCUCUCCCAGGAUGCUCCCUGUGGCGUGUGUCUCCAGAGAAUGUCGCCAUUCUCAUUCUCAGAGAUUCUAAUUGUGUUCACUAAGCAAAGAUGAGCUGAUGACCUUUCUCUAAACAUAGUUGAAGAAUUUUAAGAGACCAAAAUGGGAAUUUAGACAGAAGCACCCUUGCAUUCAAUGAAUAAGGCUCUACGUGU
rnacentral:lncRNA from 1 species